rnacentral:lncRNA from 1 species
UCAUAUGCUUAGUUUUAUUUUAUCAUAUUUAAUAAUAACACAGUAUUUGCUUUUACAAAAAAUAUUAAUACCAAUUAAUAAUCAAAUAUAAUAGCUAUUUACCCAUUCGGUUAGCUUUAUUAAGUUUAUAGUGCCUUUUUUAUGCUAAUUAAAAAAAACACCAUAUGUUAAAAUAUUAUUAUUAUCAUGACUUUAUUACGUAAUGAAAAAAUAAAAAUAAAUAAUUAAUUAUCUUACCCGUCCAAUUUCGAGCCACAAAGACUGAUUAAAAGAAGCAGCGGUGGUGAUAACUUGAGGAAAACUAGUGGCGCCGGGGAAAGCGCCACCGAAUUUAGUACCGGGACCGACGUUAGAAACGCCGUGUAAUGCUUCCGACCACCACUCGUAGCCUUGUAUACCAAGUCUUGGAACUGCAAUUGCAUUGUUUACAACAAGUCUUAUCUUCUCAGGUAAUGUAAGUCUUCCGAUAAGGUCUUGUACUCUAAACCGAAUCGGUAUGUUUGUGUUGCAGAAUCUGUAACCUCUUGUAAAACCGUUUCUUGGAUCACAUGCAAAGGGUACUCGUCCUUGAACUAAUGAAAAUACUGUGAAGAUUAAUAACAGUAUAGUUAUGAAGCUUUUGUGAUUAUGAGUCAUAUUGAAGAAGAAGAAGAAGAAUGUAAGUGGAAAUGAAUGAAUGAGUAUGGUGAGUUUGUGUUUGUGUGUUUAUAUAGAGGAAACUUUUUGGAGUUGCGUCUUUUAAAGAGUUUGGGGUGAGGAAGAGAAAUAUACUUUUUGUUGAUUGGUUUUCCACGUAGAUUUAUUUAUUGCAAGAUAAUUAAUAAUGAAAUGUGGAGUAUAAAUUUAAAAGAUUUGGACUCUGAGACAUAUAAAAGUCCUAACCGAUAUCAAAACUUAAAAAUCGUUUACAAAUGUAUUUAUAAAUUAUCUAUCUGAAAAGUUACUCCUCGCUAAUUUGAGGUUGAUUUAUAGUGAUUAAUAAUUAAAUUUGAAUUAAUUGAUAUUUUAUUUGGUUAAAAGGGUUGAGGGCUGGUUAGGUGGUGGCUUAUUCGAUCCCUAUGUGGGCUUGGAGUAGAUGCCAAAAUAAUUAAAUCACUUGAAAUACAUUAUGUACCAUACAUUAAGAAUAGAUACAAAAGAUAAUUAUUUAAAAAGGAAGUUGAAAAAAAUUACAAAAUAGAAAAAGUGGUUUGUUUGAUUUAUUUUUUAUUUAGGAAGUGGAAGUUUUGGACGUUCACGGGUGGGAGAAUCUUUGGCUUUUCUUACUAGCUAGUUUUAGUUUUGCAUGU